CGUCUAUCAAACCAGACAUCCAUGAGUAAAAACAUAAACACCGGAGAGCUGCUUUAUAGUAAAAAUUAAAAUUCUAAUUCUAAUUGAAAGCAGCACUGACACUAUUUUUCAUGUUUAAUACUGUUGUAAUAUCUAUUGUAUAAAGUGCUAUAUAAAUAAACAAACAUCAUGUGGCUCUCAGGGGUGCUGCUAUGGUUUCUGGGCCCCCUGAACAUCAUAUUGACUUGAACCCCCUCAAACUCCAGGGUGGGGGACCUCUCAUCAGGGCCCUUGGAGUCAUGCUAACCUUCCCUCCCGUUACGGCGCCCCUGGUGACUUUACUUGGCUGGAGUGCCAAAUUGCCAAGGUUGUGCUAAGAUAUCCACAUUGCUAAGAUCAGAUGCUAUCUUGCAGUACCUGCUGUUUUCUCACUGCAAAGGCUGUGUGCAGGUUGUGGUUCAGAUGUUUUUCUGGGUCAGUUCUGGUCCCAUUGGUAAGAUGGGCCCCAUCUUGUCCUCAUGAGAUCCCCUCCCUGCCUGCCCCAGGUGCCCCUGGCAUGGUCUUCACUCAGUUUUGUCCGUUAAGUACCACCUCAAAUAUUGAUGAGUCUGUGUAGGUCAGGAGGUGAUGCAUGCAUGAAGUUACUGUUGACCAGUGAGGUUUAACUAACCCCCUGAAAGUGCUUAUCCACUGUACAGAAUGUUAUCCUUCAGAAGCCUCGGAGGAUAAUGUGCUGGAGGUCUCUAUAAAGAUGAUGUUUUAACAGUAGCCAUGCCCUACAUUGAUCAGAUGAGAUCGUUUUUGUUGUUUCUUGUUGUUGUUGAAAUAGGACCAGUUUGAAUUGUUGCAGUUUAGAAUUUGGGUAUAUCAAAAUUUAUAUAUCAUGGUUUACAUAGCAAUGAGUAUUUAUUUAAAAUCUUCUUUAUAAUUUUUUUUUUUUUUACAUACACUUGAAAUUGUUCACGACAGUAAACAGACUCUGAACUUAGGCAUUGGAUAAGAUAUUAUCAGCCUUUAAUGAUGGUGUGUAAACAUGCCUGUUAGGUUGGUGCACUUUUUAAUAUAGUGAGGUUUUGCAAAUUAUAUCUUCAAAGAAC
ensembl:lncRNA